GGGAGUGUGGCGGAAUUGGCAGACGCUACGGACUUAAAAUCCGUUGAUCUAAUCGAUCGUGAGGGUUCGAUUCCCUCCAUUCCCA
rnacentral:tRNA from 1 species